rnacentral:rRNA from 1 species
AUACGUAGGGGGCGAGCGUUGUCCGGAAUGAUUGGGCGUAAAGGGCGCGUAGGCGGCCCGGUAAGUCUGGAGUGAAAGUCCUGCUUUUAAGGUGGGAAUUGCUUUGGAUACUGUCGGGCUUGAGUGCAGGAGAGGUAAGUGGAAUUCCCAGUGUAGCGGUGAAAUGCGUAGAGAUUGGGAGGAACACCAGUGGCGAAGGCGACUUCCUGGACUAUAACUGACGCUGAGGCGCGAAAGUGUGGGGAGCAAACAGGAUUAGAUACCCUGGUAGUCCACACUGUAAACGAGGAAUGCUAGGUGUAGGGGGUAUCGACCCCUUCUGUGCCGCAGUUAACACAAUAAGCAUUCCGCCUGGGGAGUACGGCCGCAAGGUUGAAACUCAAAUGAAUUGACGGGG